GGGUUUCCAUUUUCACUUAAACUACUACAUAACAAAAUAAUUUCUAGUCAAAUCUAUUUGGUGCCAUGAGUAAUUAUUCUAUUUCAAGGAUAUCAUGAUUUUUCAAGACCACAAAUAUUAAUUAACAAACUGAUAUGAUUGCAAAGUCUGUUCUUAUAAAUUCAUUAACUUAAGAACUGAUGAUUCUACCCCAUCCUCUGACAAUUUAAUCUAAAAAAAAUAUUUUAUUGUAUUUUACAUUUAAAUAAAAUUAUUUUGAAAAUAAAAAACACAAAAGUUUGCUUACACGCUAUUUAUUCACCUAGUCAAUUCAAAUAUGUAAUAAUACAUGUACCUUCAUUUGCUACUUUGGUAGAUGAGUGGUCAAAUUUCAGACAUUUUGGUUUCUUAGAUAUUUCCAACUAAUGGAAAGACGUACUUUCUUUUUUGUCAUAAAAGACAAAUACAAGGGGAGUUUUGAAAUUAAAUAAUACUUGAAAAUCAUC
rnacentral:lncRNA from 1 species